AUUGAACGCUGGCGGCAGGCUUAACACAUGCAAGUCGAACGAGUGGCGGACGGGUGAGUAAUGUAUGGGGAUCUGCCUGAUAGAGGGGGAUAACUACUGGAAACGGUAGCUAAUACCGCAUACCAUCAGAUGAACCCAUAUGGGAUUAGCUUGUAGGUGAGGUAACGGCUCACCUAGGCGACGAUCCCGAGCUGGUCUGAGAGGAUGAUCAGCCAGACUGGGACUGAGACACGGCCCAGACUCCGACGGGAGGCAGCAGGGGGGAAUAUUGCAAAAUGGGCGCAAGCCGGAUGCAGCCAUGCCGCGUGUAUGAAGAAGGCCUUCGGGUUGUAAAGUACUUUCAGUCGGGAGGCGUUACCGACAGAAGAAGCACCGGCUAACUCCGUGCCAGCAGCCGCGGUAAUUC
rnacentral:rRNA from 1 species